GCUUCUGGAGCAGGGGACAGAUGAACCUGGGGUCUGCGGAAGGAGAAGGCACCCUUGCAGGGGAAAUGUGAUGGUCAGCAGAACCUCACGAGACAGAGGCUGGCUUCCCGUUGGCUUCUCCAGGAAGCAGGCACUGUCUGUCUCUCCCAGCCCUGACACUGCAGUAGCCUGAUAUGAGGCCAGGAGCUGGGGAGCCUCUGGGGAGCCAGCAGCUCCCAAGUGGCUGCAGGGUCACAGCAGGGGACAACUCCUUACUCCUCAGCCCCUUCCACUCCCCUCUCCGGUCCUGGAAACACAGAGUAGUUAUUGAGCUGAUGGACGCAAAGCAGUCACUUGACCCCUCCUUCGCAUGUUUGUCCCCGUGGAGCUGGGAAUGGUGGCCUCCCAAGACUGGACCCAUGACUGAAACGGAGCCGUAUGAUAAUCUCUAGGUCCAACUAUGUUGCUGCAAAUGGCAUUAAAGGGCUCUGUGUUGUGACACCUCCAGAGACUGGGAUGGGAUCAGCACCGUGAUACUCCAUUGCUGUUGCUGCGCAUGUGAAAACUUUCAGUGGACAAUGCAGUGGGUUGAAGGACGCCCCCUCCACACAAAAAAAGAUGUGGAACCUGUGAUGACCUUAUAUGGAAAAAGGGUCUCUGAAGAUAUAAUUAAGGAACUCAAGACAAGAUCAUGCUGGAUUAGGAUGGGCCCUAAAUCCAAUGACAAGUGUCCUUAUAAGAGAAGAGACAAAUGAGAAGGGAAGACGUCACGCAGAGGAGAAGGCCACGCACAUGAAGACAGAGGCAGAGAUUGGAGCGAUGCAUCUACAAGGCAAGGAAUGCCCAGAAUUUCCAGCAAUCGACAGAAGCUGGGAGAAAGGCAUGGAAUGAAUUCUCCAGAAGGAACCACCCUGCUGACAUCUUAAUAUCAGACUUUUGGCCUCCAGAACUGUGAGACAAUAAACUUCUGUUGUUUUAAGCCACCAAGUUUGUGGCAAUUUGUUUCAGUAGCCCCAAUGCAGAUGACCUUGUAGGUCUCAAAAUCGGAGGAGACUGAAAAACACUUGCUUUGGUUCCUAAGCCUUAAGUAUGGUCUUGCCUCUGAAGGCAAGAAAAUGACUUGGUAUUUUUCCCACUUUCAAAGAGUUGAAACUCCUUGGCCUAAGUCUGCAUACCAUCUAGGGAGGGUAAAGUGACUCACAGGACAGAGAGGUGACCCUCAAGGUCAUAUGAAGAAGGGGCAGAGGAAGUCGGCUCACCUAAGGGGCAGGGGGAUGGCAAAUACAGUGCGAAGUUCACAGGACCAAGGAUCUGGAGGUCCAAAUUCUAAUCCAGGUUCUGCCUCUCACUGGCCAGGUGACCUUGCAUGAGGCCUUGCCGUUUCUUGGGUGUCAGGACUACCUGUCUGUGAAAUGGGGGGAUGGGGCUGUGUGCUCUCUGGGGUCCCUCCCACUGGGACCCUCCAUGAGUCUGGGCCACCCCUGCCACAACAAGGGGUGCAGCAUGGAGGGUGCCAACAGCCUGACCGUGGCUGGUCCUUGGGUCUGCCUGUCAGCAUAGCCCGUGCCGCACAGCCUUACCUGUCUGCCAAAGCCUGAGAGCCAGGAAAGUGGGUGAGGGUGGCCGGCGGAUGCGGUGCCCAUGUCGGCGCUGGCACACUGCAGCUGGGUGGCCCUGUGUGUCCCAGGCAGGAUGCCGGCAGCACAGCCUUCCCCCUGGGUCUGUUUAGAAACCAGUCACACACCAGGUUUUCCUUCAGUGAUGAAAUGUAUGUGAAAUUGAUGCAGUUGGUCCUUCUGAACAAUUGAUUUAGGACUCUUAGUUUCCCUCCCCGCCUUUCUCCUUAAUUGACUUUUCUCAGACUCUCAGUCUGCAUUAAAUUCAAAAUCUGGGAAUCCCUUCUUCUCCCCUCACCCUGCUCUCCAUCUCAAUUUAUCUACUCUGCUUUAUCUUUCGUGGAUUAUAUUAGGAUGUGCUAU